rnacentral:rRNA from 1 species
AACGAACGCUGGCGGCAUGCCUAACACAUGCAAGUCGAACGAACCCUUCGGGGUUAGUGGCGCACGGGUGCGUAACACGUGGGAAUCUGCCCUUUGCUUCGGAAUAACAGUUAGAAAUGACUGCUAAUACCGGAUAAUGUCGCAAGACCAAAGAUUUAUCGGCAAAGGAUGAGCCCGCGUAGGAUUAGCUAGUUGGUGGGGUAAAAGCUCACCAAGGCGACGAUCCUUAGCUGGUCUGAGAGGAUGAUCAGCCACACUGGGACUGAGACACGGCCCAGACUCCUACGGGAGGCAGCAGUGGGAAUAUUGGACAAUGGGCGAAAGCCUGAUCCAGCAAUGCCGCGUGAGUGAUGAAGGCCUUAGGGUUGUAAAGCUCUUUUACCAGGGAUGAUAAUGACAGUACCUGGAGAAUAAGCUCCGGCUAACUCCGUGCCAGCAGCCGCGGU